rnacentral:lncRNA from 1 species
GCAACUUUCUAAGUUUAUAUCACAAAAAUAACACUUAAAAACUAAAAUGACCAAAAUAGCAUUUUAUUUUUUGAAAAUUUUAAUUUUUUAUUUUUCAAAAUUUGAAAUCUUAUCCCCAAAACCUCAUUUCUCAACUCUAAACCCUAAACCCUAAACUCUAAACCUUAAACCUUAAACCCUAAAUCCUAAACCCCACCCUUUAACUCUAAACCCUGAGUUUGUGACUUUUGAUAAAACAUUAAGUGUUAUUUUUGUGAUUUUUGAC